UAAAUACUGGUAAAAUUAUCGUUUUGGCCGUGCAUCUAUUUUCCAAAAGUCAUAAUCGUUCAAAAUAUCCAUAAAAACCGUUGGAAAAAGAUAAUUUCAACUUUACGUAACCUAUUUGAGUAAUCGGUUUCUCCAUGUGGUGUUAAACUAUUGAGUAAUGUUUAUUUUUAAUACAAAGUUGUUAUUUGACCCGGAUUCUGGGCCAAAUGACCGUCGGCUAUUUGACCGGGACCUGCGGGGAUCGUGUGGGAUUGUAGUCGGGAUGGUUGGGGGCAUUAAACAAGUCAUUCCAUUAUGGUAUUAUUUAAUUGUAUAAUUUCUGUUGACAAAAGGAUUUAGUUUUAUUUUAGAUCUUUGUCAAAUAACCGGCGGUUAUUGUGCCGAGUACUGGUCAAAUAAUCCCUGCCUAUAAUAUAAUAGUUUUACAGUGUUGUGUAUUAUAUAGGUAUCUGUUACAUUUCCAGGAAGCUUUAAGGACCAACAACACAUCUCGGUACGACAAGUGGAGACUCGACCGUACAGACCCGUCCGGUCUCGCACACGACGCCGUUAACGGCAAACGGAGAAACGCCGCCGCCGCCGACCCGCGGGAGGUACUUUCUCCAUCACUGCCUAAAGUGGACCUGAUGUGAACUAGAAUGAAGUUGGCUGGACCUGCAGUGAAGUGGACCUGAAGCUAACUGGACCUCAAGUAGUCUGUGGAAGCUUCAAGGACCAACAACACAUCUCGGUACGACAAGUCGAGACUCGACCGUACAGACCCGUCCGGUCUCGCACACGACGCCGUUAACGGCAAACGGAGAAACGCCGCUGGGAGGCACUUUCUCCAACACUGCCUACAGUGGACCUGAUGUGAACUAGAAUGAAGUUGGCUGGAC